UACGUAGGUGGCGAGCGUUGUCCGGAUUUACUGGGCGUAAAGAGCGCGCAGGCGGUCGUGCAAGUCGCGUGUGAAAUCCCUCGGCUCAACUGAGGAACUGCACGGGAAACUGACGGGCUUGAGUUCGGGAGAGGGAAGCGGAAUUCCGGGUGUAGCGGUGAAAUGCGUAGAUAUCCGGAGGAACACCGGUGGCGAAGGCGGCUUCCUGGACCGACACUGACGCUGAGGCGCGAAAGCUAGGGGAGCAAACGGG
rnacentral:rRNA from 1 species